rnacentral:rRNA from 11 species
UUACCGAAUUAAAAGCUUAUCGGACCGGAAUGCCCAUGGUAACAAUUUAGUUAGUUGGUGGAUAACGGCCCAACCAGGCAGGGAUGUUAAGGGCCUGAGAGAGGGGGAAUCCCCACACAUUGGUACUGAGGACACGGACCAGGACUCUACGGGAGGCAGCAGUGAGGAAUAUUGGACAAUGGGCGGGAGCCUGAUCCAGCCAUGCCGCGUGCAGGAUGACGCCCUAUGGGUGUAAACUGCUUUUAUACGGGAAGAAACGCACUACGAGUAGGUGUCUGACGGUACCGUAAGAAUAAGGACCGGCUAACUCCGUGCCAGCAGCCGCGGUAAUACGGAGGGUCCGAGCGUUAUCCGGAAUCAUUGGGUUUAAAGGGUCCGUAGGCGGGCCUGUAAGUCAGGGGUGAAAGUUUGUGGCUCAACCAUAAAAUUGCCUUUGAUACUGCAGGUCUUGAGUCAUGGUGGGGUUGCCGGAACAUGUGGUGUAGCGGUGAAAUGCAUAGAUAUCACAUAGAACACCGAUCGCGAAGGCAGGUGACCAACCAUGUACUGACGCUGAUGGACGAAAGCGUGGGUAGCGAACGGGAUUAGAUACCCCGGUAGUCCACGCCGUAAACGAUGGAUACUAGCUGUGGGGACUUCGGUCUCCGUGGCCAAGCGAAAGUGAUAAGUAUCCCACCUGGGGAGUACGUUCGCAAGAAUGAAACUCAAAGGAAUUGACGGGGGCCCGCACAAGCGGUGGAGCAUGUGGUUUAAUUCGAUGAUACGCGAGGAACCUUACCAGGGCUUAAAUGCAGGCUGCAUGGGGUAGAGAUGCCCCUUUCUUCGGACCGCCUGCAAGGUGCUGCAUGGUUGUCGUCAGCUCGUGCCGUGAGGUGUCAGGUUAAGUCCUAUAACGAGCGCAACCCCUACCGUUAGUUGCCAGCAUGUCAAGAUGGGGACUCUAACGGGACUGCCGGUGCAAACCGUGAGGAAGGUGGGGACGACGUCAAAUCAUCACGGCCCUUACGUCCUGGGCUACACACGUGCUACAAUGGCCGGUACAGAGGGAAGCCACCCCGCAAGGGGGCGCGGAUCUACAAAACCGGUCACAGUUCGGAUCGGGGUCUGCAACUCGACCCCGUGAAGCUGGAAUCGCUAGUAAUCGGAUAUCAGCCAUGAUCCGGUGAAUACGUUCCCGGGCCUUGUACACACCGCCCGUCAAGCCAAUGGAAAAGCCGGGGAAGUGCC